AUGCUCUUUUCAGCAGCACAUAUACUAGAAUUGGAAUAUACAGAGAAGAUAAGCAUGGUCUCUGUGCAAGAAUGACAUGCAAAUUUGUGAAGUGUUGCAUAUUUUU
rnacentral:snRNA from 1 species